AGGUUACAAUAACACCACAUCAGUCCAUGCCAUGGAGAUCCAGCAGGCCAUUAACCUGGACCCUGGAAGCACGUGCUGAGUAGGCACUCCCCCUUUACAAGGAUGGAAUGACUACAUAUAUCUAUAACACGGAAACACUAACAGUGAUGUGAAAGUGGAACCUAAUUGAGGAGAUCUGCUCAUCUAACCGUCCCAUGCCCAGAGAGCUUUUACAAGCCUCCAAGGAGACCUGAGGGCAACUAUGAUGGAGGAAACCGAUAGAGAAGCUGUCAAGGCCAGGGAAGCAUUGCUAAUCCCUGCCUCAGCCUACCAGCCCAGGACUGGCAACCCUGACAUCGCAGGCUAAGAAGUGCCAUAUGAUUGCAGUGAUGAAUUAGUGCUGUAAGGACCUGCACUAGCUCUGGUAUUUGUGCCAGCAGAGGUCACAAAUUCAGAGCAGAAGCUGCAGCAACAGUUCCCAACACUGCAGUAUGUACCAGCUGCCAGAAGUGAUUUGAGACCAAGACACUGGAGUAGGAUCAGUGUGUGAGGAGAGAAAUCUUAUUCUGGAAGAAGAAAAUUUCAGGAGGAUAUCUUUCUAAAAAUCCAUCUGUUCCUCAUCUUCUCUGAUGAAGAUUUCUCAGCCACACUGAUGCACAUCCACAGAGCAGAUGCAGGUUUUUCAUUAGACAAUAAGCCCAUCAUUGUAACUCUGACUCCUGAGAAACAACUGGAGAGUCCUAGUAUUGUGUGAUGCCUCCUGUUAAGCAGAUAAAUGUGCUGUACAGCCACUCGUUCCUCCCAAGAACUAGAGUUGCAUACACCAUCUGCUUUGAACUGGUCCAGUCAUUUUGAAAUGAUGCUAGUGGCCUUAAUAAUGAGAUUAAGGCUACAAGCUUUUCAGAAGAGAUAAGCAGGAAAGGAGGUAUGGGGGAGUUGCCCUCUACAUUAACAGGUGGAGAGAGUGCAAAGAGCUGCCUCAGUGAGGCUGGUGAGGCCUUCUUGCUUCAACUGCAGGAAGUGUUGUGCUCACAGACUCUCACCUUGAUGGAGGAUUUCAACCAUCUCGUCACGAGAUGAGUUAAGAGUUGUGGCACUCUAGGCUGUAGUGACCAUGCCCUGGUAGUUUGUGGUCUUGAGGAGGGGUGGUCUGGCAAAAAGCUAAGAUAGCUGAGGAAGCUUGGGCCUGUUCAGCCUGGAGAAGGCUCAUGGGAGACCUCACUGCA